rnacentral:tRNA from 1 species
GCCUCCGUAGGCUAAUGGACAAACCUCAGGAUUGCGGAUCCUGUAAUGUGGGUUCGAUUCCCGCCGGGGGCG